UCAAUGAUACAAUUUUACCUAAAUUCAUCGGGGACGAAAAUCAAUGGCUUAGAUAGCACAUCUGUUGUUUCCUGUUACUGCCUCACACAGUCUGGAGUCCCUGAGGAUCCAUACUGCGGCACAUAGCAAAAAGCAAUUGCUGGAUUGAUUGAUAUUUCAAUACGCUGACUUUUACGAAGAAUGAAGAAAGGACAAAAUUUCUGUGCCACACUGACUUCCUUGGACACAUCACAAGCUCUCAAAAGUCCCCGCCUUGGCACAUGCUGUAAACCUCUCUUGGGAGGGAACCCCCUGCCUGUUUUGUGUGUUUGCCAAAUCCUUGUUUAUCUGAGAAGGCGAGGUACGAAGCAGUGCACAGUGUUAAGCCUUUCCUGGUUUCCCAAGGAGCAGUGACCAGUAUUGUCCUUGGUGCUCCCAGAGCAAUGGAGGUGGAGCUCGGAGUUGCUACGUCUCCGCCACAUGCAAUGGGUCUCUUCUGUGCCUCUCUCAUGACACGCUGAGCUCCCUGAAGACAGGAGCUGUGAACUACGGAUUCUUUAGUUGAUGCCUCUAAUCUCUAACGUGGAUGCUCGUAACUCAAUAGAUAUUGAGUGUCUGUUAUGCGUUACUCCACUGACUAUACUCAAUAAGUAUUUUUAGAUACUCAAUAAAAGUAUUUUGAAUA